rnacentral:rRNA from 1 species
GACGAACGCUGGCGGCGUGCUUAACACAUGCAAGUCGAACGAAGAGCGGUGGAAGCUUGCUUCUAUCAAUCUUAGUGGCGCACGGGUGAGUAACGCGUAAUCAACCUGCCCUUCAGAGGGGGACAACAGUUGGAAACGACUGCUAAUACCGCAUACGAUCUAACCUCGGCAUCGAGGAUGGAUGAAAGGUGGCCUCUAUUUAUAAGCUAUCACUGAAGGAGGGGAUUGCGUCUGAUUAGCUAGUUGGAGGGGUAACGGCCCACCAAGGCGAUGAUCAGUAGCCGGUCUGAGAGGAUGAACGGCCACAUUGGGACUGAGACACGGCCCAGACUCCUACGGGAGGCAGCAGUGGGGAAUCUUCCGCAAUGGACGAAAGUCUGACGGAGCAACGCCGCGUGAGUGAUGACGGCCUUCGGGUUGUAAAGCUCUGUUAAUCGGGACGAAAGGCCUUCUUGCGAAUAGUUAGAAGGAUUGACGGUACCGGAAUAGAAAGCCACGGCUAACUACGUG